rnacentral:rRNA from 1 species
AUUGAACGCUGGCGGCAGGCCUAACACAUGCAAGUCGAGCGAGUGACGGACGGGUGAGUAAUGUAUGGGAAUCUUACCGAUAACGGGGGAUAACUACUGGAAACGGUGGAUAAUACCGCAUACUAUCGGAUGAACCCAAAGGGGAUUAGCUAUUGGGUGGGGUAAAGGCUCACCUAGGAGACGACCUCUAGCUGGUCUGAGAGUAUGAUGAGCCACACUGCGACGGAGACACGGCACAGAUCACAACCGGAGGUAGCAUUGGGGGAUAUUACACAGGGGGUUGAAGCCUGAGCCAGCCAUGCCGCGUGGAGGAAGAAGGCAUGUGUGUUUUAAACUAAUUUCAGCGGGGAGGCGUUAUGUACAGAAGAAGGAUCGUCUAACUCCGUGCCAGCAGCCGCGGUAAUAC